UACGAGGGGGGCAAGCGUUGUUCGGAAUUAUUGGGCGUAAAGGGUGCGUAGGCGGUUCGGUAAGUCUGAUGUGAAAUCUAUGGGCUCAACUCAUAGUCUGCAUCGGAAACUGCCGGGCUUGAGUAUGGGAGAGGUGAGUGGAAUUCCUGGUGUAGCGGUGAAAUGCGUAGAUAUCAGGAGGAACACCAGUGGCGAAGGCGGCUCACUGGUCCAUUACUGACGCUGAGGUGCGAAAGCGUGGGGAGCAAACAGG
rnacentral:rRNA from 1 species